rnacentral:rRNA from 1 species
UACGUAGGGUGCGAGCGUUGUCCGGAAUUAUUGGGCGUAAAGAGCUUGUAGGCGGUUUGUCGCGUCUGCUGUGAAAAUCCGGGGCUCAACCCCGGACUUGCAGUGGGUACGGGCAGGCUAGAGUGUGGUAGGGGAGACCGGAAUUCCUGGUGUAGCGGUGAAAUGCGCAGAUAUCAGGAGGAACACCGAUGGCGAAGGCAGGUCUCUGGGCCACUACUGACGCUGAGAAGCGAAAGCAUGGGGAGCGAACAGG